AGUGGGGAAUAUUGCGCAAUGGGGGCAACCCUGACGCAGCGACGCCGCGUGAGUGAUGAAGGUCUUCGGAUCGUAAAGCUCUGUCCUCAGGGAAGAAGAAUGUGACGGUACCUGAGGAGGAAGCCCCGGCUAACUACGUGCCAGCAGCCGCGGUAAUACGUAGGGGGCGAGCGUUGUCCGGAAUUAUUGGGCGUAAAGGGUGCGUAGGCGGCCUUGCAAGUCCGAUGUGAAAGACCACGGCUUACCCGUGGGGUUGCAUUGGAAACUGUAGGGCUUGAGUACUGGAGAGGAUAGUGGAAUACCCAGUGUAGCGGUGAAAUGCGUAGAUAUUGGGUGGAACACCAGUGGCGAAGGCGACUAUCUGGACAGUAACUGACGCUGAGGCACGAAAGCUGGGGGAGCAGACAGGAUUAGAUACCCUGGUAGUCCUAGCCGUAAACGAUGGGUACUAGGUGUAGGAGGUUUCGAUACCUUCUGUGCCGCAGUUAACGCAAUAAGUACCCCGCCUGNAGAGUACGGUCGCAAGACUG
rnacentral:rRNA from 1 species